rnacentral:rRNA from 1 species
GACACCGAGUGUCAGCAUCAUAUGCUGUUUGUCCAGGUGUGUAAAAUACACCUUUUAGCAAGGUCAGGGCAAGACUGGUGCCAGCCGCCGCGGUAACCCGGGCGGCCCGAGUGGUGAUCGUGAUUAUUGGGUCUAAAGGGUCCGUAGCCGGUUUUGUCAGUCCUCCGGGAAAUCUGAUAGCUCAACUAUUAGGCUAUCGGGGGAUACUACCUGACUUGGAACCGGGAGAGGUAAGAGGUACUACAGGGGUAGGAGUGAAAUUUUGUAAUCCCUGUGGGAUCCACCUGUGGCGAAGGCGUCUUACCAGAACGGGUUUGGCGGUGAGGGACGAAGGCUGGGGGCACGAACCGGAUUAGAUACCCGGGUAGUCCCAGCCGUAAACGAUGCUCGCUAGGUGUCAGGCAUGGCGCGACCGUGUCUGGUGCCGCAGGGAAGCCGUGAAGCGAGCCACCUGGGAAGUACGGCCGCAAGGCUGAAACUUAAAGGAAUUGGCGGGGGAG